rnacentral:rRNA from 1 species
ACCUGACUGCUAUCGGAUUGAUACUAAGCCAUGCGAGUCAUUGUAGCAAUACAAGGCAUACGGCUCANUAACGCGUAGUCAACCUAACCUAUGGACGGGAAUAACCUCGGGAAACUGAGAAUAAUGCCCGAUAGAACAUUAUGCCUGGAAUGGUUUAUGUUCCAAAUGAUUUAUCGCCAUAGGAUGGGACUGCGGCCUAUCAGUUUGUUGGUGAGGUAAUGGCCCACCAAGACUAUUACAGGUACGGGCUCUGAGAGGAGUAGCCCGGAGAUGGGUACUGAGACACGGACCCAGGCCCUAUGGGGCGCAGCAGGCGAGAAAACUUUGCAAUGUGCGAAAGCACGACAAGGUUAAUCCGAGUGAUUUCUGCUAAAGAGAUCUUUUGUUAGUUCUAGAAACACUAACGAAUAAGGGGUGGGCAAGUUCUGGUGUCAGCCGCCGCGGUAAAACCAGCACCUCAAGUGGUCAGGAUGAUUAUUGGGCCUAAAGCAUCCGUAGCCGGCUCUGUAAGUUUUCGGUUAAAUCUGUACGCUCAACGUACAGGCUGCCGGGAAUACUGCAGAACUAGGGAGUGGGAGAGGUAGACGGUACUCGGUAGGAAGUGGUAAAAUGCUUUGAUCUAUCGAUGACCACCUGUGGCGAAGGCGGUCUACCAGAACACGUCCGACGGUGAGGGAUGAAAGCUGGGGGAGCAAACCGGAUUAGAUACCCGGGUAGUCCCAGCUGUAAACUAUGCAAACUCAGUGAUGCAUUGGCUUGUGGCCAAUGCAGUGCUGCAGGGAAGCCGUUAAGUUUGCCGCCUGGGAAGUACGUACGCAAGUAUGAAACUUAAAGGAAUUGGCGGGGGAGCACCACAAGGGGUGAAGCCUGCGGUUC